GAACGUGAGUGUAAAGUGGCUGUUGGUAACUACUGAAGUCUGAGGCUACUAGUAUUGUGUUGGAUUGUCCUGUGGCAACUAUAUUUCGACGCUGUGGCCUGAGUGAGGCACUUUCCUCCGACGUGGGAUACUGCACAGAUAGACUGAUGCCUCAGACAAAGGGAUCUCUGGCAUUCUUAGCCAGUGUGUGAAUGGUAUGUUGCAUCCUAUAAAAUUUGUGAGCCGUAAGUUGUUGCCUCGGGAGCAGAAGUAUUCUAUCAUUGAACGGGAAGGAUUGGCCAUUGUAUAUGCAAUAAAAACAAUUGGACAGGUAUCUGGCCGGAAAAAAAUUUCAUCUCCAGACUGACCACAAGGCUUUAUCUUACCUUGGAAGCACUAACUUUACCAAUGCACGUAUUACAAGAUGGGCGCUGAUGUUGCAGGAUUAUUCCUUUGAUGUUGUUCAUGUCAAAGGGGAGGACAAUCUGCUUGCUGAUCUGUGUUCAAGAUUGCUAUAGACUUUCAAAUACGCAGCUACAUGAGCUUCAUACUUAUGUAUUGUUUUUAUACAUGUCUUAUGCAUUUUAUGGUUCCAAUGUAUACAUUGUUGUUUGAAAAUGUUUGCACUUUAUGUUAGAUGAUAUUAUGUUGCAUUUAGUAUUAUUGACAUUAAUUUGCUGAUUAUGCAUUUUAAAUUUGAUUGUUUGGUAGAUUGUGAUUUUGUGAAUGGUUCAUAGUGUAAUGUGGAUACUUUGGUAAAAAGUGUUAUUGGUAAUUUUUCUUCUAAGUUGUUAUGUUUGGAAGAGUGAUGUUAAUGCGGAUGAAUUUUCCUAGAUGGAUGUGCUUACCUUGUAGCUGCAAUGAUAUCUUCUUACUUUUCUUUCAGUUUGAGGUACGGAAACUGGUCCAUACUUUGUAAGAACCAGUUUGGGGGGAGAGGGGGAAUGUCGGUGCGUAGAUUAUGGCAUUCUAGCACCAAUGUGUAUUAAGUGCACUAUUUUUGAACGCACUUUCUUUUUGUUGCCUUGCUUGUAAGUUAAUGGAGUGUUUUUGUUCUGCUGGUGUAACGUUUGUUGAGAUUUUUCUGUGUUCCCCUGUUUAGGGGAGUUAGCUUGGGAUUGGAAGUCUACGCUGGUGACUAAAGACAGCAGUGUCAGAGUGUGUUGUGUUUUCGAACAUUAAUGUGUACGUUGUGGGACAGCAAGGGGUAGAAUUAUUAUUUAAUUAAUAAAUUCACAGUCUUAAAAUGUUCAAUGUCAUUACUCCAUUAGUUUGUCAUCAUACUUAUAUUUAUAUCAUUAAAUAUUUACAUUGUUA